GAUGAACGCUGGCGGCGUGCUUAACACAUGCAAGUCGAACGGAAAGGCUCCUGCUUGCAGGGGUACUCGAGUGGCGAACGGGUGAGUAACACGUGGGUGAUCUGCCCUGCACUUCGGGAUAAGCCUGGGAAACUGGGUCUAAUACCGGCUAGGACGAUGGUUUGGAUGCCAUUGUGGAAAGUUUGUCGGUGUGGGAUAAGCUCGCGGCCUAUCAGCUUGUUGGUGGGGUAAUGGCCUACAAAGGCGUCGACGGGUAGCCGGCCUGGGAGGGUGUACGGCCACAUUGGGACUGAGAGACGGCCCAGACGCCUACAGGAGGCAGCAGUGGGGAAUAUUGCACAAUGGGGGCAAGCCUGAGGCAGCGACGCCGCGUGGGGGAUGACGGCCUUCGGGUUGUAAACUCCUGUCGCUAGGGACGAAGCGCAGGUGACGUUACCUGGAGAAGAAGCACCGGCUAACUACGUG
rnacentral:rRNA from 1 species